rnacentral:rRNA from 1 species
GUGGGGAAUAUUCCGCAAUGGACGAAAGUCUGACGGAGCAACGCCGCGUGAGUGAUGAAGGUUUUCGGACUGUAAAGCUCUGUUGUUUAGGACGAAAGUGCCUGUUGCAAAUAGUUACAGGUAUUGACGGUACUGAACGAGGAAGCCACGGCUAACUACGUGCCAGCAGCCGCGGUAAUACGUAGGUGGCAAGCGUUGUCCGGAAUUAUUGGGCGUAAAGAGCAUGUAGGCGGGAAUCUAAGUCUGUUGUGAAAAUGCGGGGCUCAACCCCGUAUUGCGAUGGAAACUGGGUUUCUUGAGUGCAGGAGAGGAAAGGGGAAUUCCCAGUGUAGCGGUGAAAUGCGUAGAUAUUGGGAGGAACACCAGUGGCGAAGGCGACUUACUGGACUGUAACUGACGCUGAGGCGCGAAAGUGUGGGGAGCAAACAGGAUUAGAAACCCCUGUAGUCC